GGGGGGGGGUGGGGGGGGGGGUCGGGCGAGGGCGUCGGGGGGGCGGGGCCUGCGUGUGUGGGGUGGUCGCGUGGGGCGAGGGUGAGUAGCCGGGGCGUGACCUGCCGUUGACUUUGGGAUGGGUUGAGGAACCUCGGGGUAAUCCGGGAUAGGCGCUGGUGCUGCGUGGGGGGGUGUGUACAGGUUCUGAGGUGGGGGAUGUACGCGCGGCUGAUACGCGUGUUGGUGGGGGAGUCGUUUACCAAUGCUUGGACGGGGAGCCGGCCUGAGAGGGUGACCGGCCACAUUGGGACUGAGAUACGGCCCAGACUCCUACGGGAGGAAGCAGUGGGGAAUAUUGCACAAUGGGCGGAAGCCUGAUGCAGCAACGCCGCGUGCGGGAUGACGGCCUUCGGGUUGUAAACCGCUUUCGCCUGUGACGAAGCGUGAGUGACGGUAAUGGGUAAAGAAGCACCGGCUAACUACGUG
rnacentral:rRNA from 1 species